UACGUAGGGGGCAAGCGUUGUCCGGAAUCAUUGGGCGUAAAGAGCGCGUAGGCGGUCCGGUAAGUCCGCUCUGAAAGUCCGGGGCUCAACCCCGGGAGGCGGGCGGAUACUGUCGGGCUAGAGUCCGGAAGAGGCGAGUGGAAUUCCUGGUGUAGCGGUGAAAUGCGCAGAUAUCAAGGAGGAACACCAAUGGCGAAGGCAGCUCGCUGGGACGGUACUGACGCUGAGGCGCGAAAGCGUGGGGAGCAAACAGG
rnacentral:rRNA from 1 species